GACGAACGCUGGCGGCGUGCUUAACACAUGCAAGUCGAACGGAAAGGCCCUGCUUUUGUGGGGUGCUCGAGUGGCGAACGGGUGAGUAACACGUGAGUAACCUGCCCUUGACUGUGUGAUAACUUCAGGAAACUGGGGCUAAUACCGGAUAGGAGCUCCUGCUGCAUGGUGGGGGUUGGAAAGUUUAGGCGGUAGGGGAUGGACUCGCGGCUUAUCAGCUUGUUGGUGGGGUAGUGGCUUACCAAGGCUUUGACGGGUAGCCGGCCUGAGAGGGUGACCGGCCACAUUGGGACUGAGAGACGGCCCAGACUGCUACGGGAGGCAGCAGUGGGGAGUAUUGCACAAUGGGCGGAAGCCUGAUGCAGCAACGCCGCGUGCGGGAUGACGGCCUUCGGGUGGUAAACCGCUUUCGCCUGUGACGAAGCGUGAGUGACGGUAAUGGGUAAAGAAGCACCGGCUAACUACGUG
rnacentral:rRNA from 1 species